rnacentral:rRNA from 1 species
GACGAACGCUGGCGGCGUGCCUAAUACAUGCAAGUAGAACGCUGAAGAGAGGAGCUUGCUCUUCUUGGAUGAGUUGCGAACGGGUGAGUAACGCGUAGGUAACCUGCCUUGUAGCGGGGGAUAACUAUUGGAAACGAUAGCUAAUACCGCAUAACAAUGGAUGACACAUGUCAUUUAUUUGAAAGGGGCAAUUGCUCCACUACAACAUGGACCUGCGUUGUAUUAGCUAGUAGGUGAGGUAACGGCUCACCUAGGCGACGAUACAUAGCCGACCUGAGAGGGUGAUCGGCCACACUGGGACUGAGACAAGGCCCAGACUCCUACGGGAGGCAGCAGUAGGGAAUCUUCGGCAAUGGGGGGAACCCUGACCGAGCAACGCCGCGUGAGUGAAGAAGGUUUUCGGAUCGUAAAGCUCUGUUGUAAGUCAAGAACGAGUGUGAGAGUGGAAAGUUCACACUGUGACGGUAGCUUACCAGAAAGGGACGGCUAACUACGUG